ACAAAGGUCGUUACAGAGAGAGAAAGCAAAAGAACAGAGAGAUAGAGAGAGAGAAACAAGAUAGAGAGAUCAUUGGAGGCGUCUUCCUGGAAGUUAUUCUCGUUGAUUCUUCUCCUCUAUGCCUGUUCUUGUAACGUUGAGUCGCCGUUGACUGCAAUUGAGGGACAUCGUCUCCCUCCCUUGAGACGCAGCCAUUCCGGUAACUCAGGGUGUGUCAUUCGUUUUAUGCUUGCUUCACUUUUACGAUCAUAGAAUCUCACCUAAGUCUUAGAUUGGAAAUCGGAUUAAAUCUCUACACUUUGUUGCUUCAGUUUCAAAACAAUGGUUCAGUUCCAAAAAUAUCUACUAAAAGUUUCAAAGUUUACUCCUACAACGAGAAAACUUAUCCAGCAUGUAUAUUGUAAGUCGUGCAUAUUAACAUUUUAAGAUUUCUGUUCCUCUAAAUUAGGAAUUUUAAUAUAUUAAUCUUCUGCUUUUAUAUUGUUUUGGAGAAAAUUUUGUGACAAUUAACAGCAAUGAGCCUCUAAAUUGAGGGAGACCGAUCUGAGUCAAUUUAUCCAGCCCUUCCUGAGGGAGCUCUCCUACCCUUCUCAAUGCACGAAUUCACAUACAAUUAUACACUGAUCACUACGGAGAAGAUAAAAGAUGACCAAUACCAUAGCCAUAUUCAAUCCGGUAGGUCAAGAGAAGGAGAGCGGGAUUGCAUAUCAGGUUAAAUAAAGCGGGUGAACUCUAGAAACCAGUACAAAACUGCCCCAUCAAAGACGAAAAAUUGGUAUAAACCAAGAUAGCAAAUGGAAUGAUUUAGAACACCUUUAUCAGUAAGAUCUUUAAAAAGAAGUUUUUAAAAUUAAAAUAUUACUAUUUUAAUAUAAUUUAGUUAUCUGAUUUAAUUUUUGUUAUUAUUAAACAGACAAACCAAUUAAAAAUGGAUAGGUGUAGAGACUCUCUUUUAUGGAGCUCUUAUAUAAAAAAAUUUAGAGCUUCUUCUAUAGUUUCUUUCAUAUUUUUUUAUUUUUUUUAUUUAAUUUAUUGAUUA
rnacentral:lncRNA from 1 species